CAGAACCACGCGUUGUCUGUGUGGUUUAGAAGUUUCUUGGUGAUAUGGGGGGAAAGUUCCUCACAUACCAACGGAAAAUGGGCUUCAUAUACAUGCUGCUGUCUCAUAAUAUGGCGAAGACGAGUCACCUGAAGGCCUAACUCGCCAUAGAAGACUGAAAGAAUUGUCCUGCAGGAUGCUGUGUCCUGCAAUCCUGUGUGCUGUGCUACAGACGCGUGUGGAGGUCAACCCAAAAUGGGCACAGUCUCACCACAGAAGAGUGAAAGAGGAUCCUGGCAGGGAGACGGUAGUGUCCUGCAGAAUGGUGAUGGGCCAAUCUUACAAGAGACCACAGAAAACUGAUAUAGUGAACUAUAGAAACAACAGUGCCUGCUGCAGUAUAACGAGGACACCCUGAGCAGAGAGCUCCAAUAGACCCAGGUCCAGUGUCUUGGCAGGGUGAAAUGGCACUGAUAUGGUGUCCUGCAGGAUGCUGUGUCCUGCAAUCCUGUGUGCUGUGCUACAGACGCGUGUGGAGGUCAACCCAAAAUGGGCACAGUCUCACCACAGAAGAGUGAAAGAGGCUCCCAGAAGUGAGACUGAGUGCCUGUUGCAGUAUGACGAGGACGCAGUGACCAGAGACCUUCAGUAGACCCUGCUGGCAUGAUUGGCGUCUGAAGAACAUGAAAUCAACAGCAAUGUUUAUAAUGUUGUACAUACCUGUAUAGUCUGUAUUAAAAGGCAGUACCUGUA